rnacentral:misc_RNA from 1 species
AUCAGUUGUUACUCCUUAGGAU